rnacentral:lncRNA from 1 species
UCAGUCAUAUGCUAGAUUGGCUCGACUCUAGUUCAUUUGUGAAUCUCGUGAAAACUCUUUUUCAGUAUUCAUACUUAUUCUGGUCAGAGAUUUUUCUGAACUCAAUGUUACGAAUUGCAUAAGACUUCUCUUUUUCUAUCAAGAUCGAUAAAUUCUAUCUAGGUGUAUCCUACUCCAAACAAUGAAUCUGAACCUACAUGGCCAAUAUACACAGCAAGAACCCAUAUAGCUAGGGAUCAAGAAAAUAUGCAGUCAAAUUAUAUAGCCUCACUGUGAAUAGCCAACACACCGCAGGUCAAAGGAUCAGUCACACCACU